GACGAACGCUGGCGGCGUGCUUAACACAUGCAAGUCGAACGGAAAGGCCCUGCUUUUGUGGGGUGCUCGAGUGGCGAACGGGUGAGUAACACGUGAGUAACCUGCCCCUGACUUUGGGAUAACUUCAGGAAACUGGGGCUAAUACCGGAUAGGAGCUCCUGCUGCAUGGUGGGGGUUGGAAAGUUUCGGCGGUUGGGGAUGGACUCGCGGCUUAUCAGCUUGUUGGUGGGGUAGUGGCUUACCAAGGCUUUGACGGGUAGCCGGCCUGAGAGGGUGACCGGCCACAUUGGGACUGAGAUACGGCCCAGACUCCUACGGGAGGCAGAAGUGGGGAAUAUUGCACAAUGGGCGGAAGCCUGAUGCAGCAACGCCGCGUGAGGGAUGACGGCCUUCGGGUUGUAAACCGCUUUCGCCUGUGACGAAGCGUGAGCGACGGUAAUGGGUAAAGAAGCACCGGCUAACUACGUG
rnacentral:rRNA from 1 species